AUUGAAACGCUAGUUCCCGUAUGAUCACCACAGUUAAGCAACAUCAAACCUGGCCAUUACCUAGAUGGGUGACUUCUUGGGAAUACCAGGUGCUGAAA